rnacentral:lncRNA from 1 species
UAUGAUCCUCAUGGGUAAUUGCUAAGACUUAAAACCUUUUUAUUGCAGUAAUCACAUUGACAAAGUUGGUGAAACAUUUUGUGGGAUUGGCAUCUGGCAGGGCUCUAGAAGUUGCACGAGAGUGCUUCAAUUCUCAUUCUAGAAGCAAAUAUUCAUUUGAAAGAAGUCCAGGAUGAAGGCGAGGAAGAUGAGGAUGAUGGAAUGGAAGAUGUUGAUGAAAGUGAAUGUGAUGAUGAGAAUGAGGAUGUAAGUUCCCCCCCAGCCCGGGCGGCCGCCGCAUCAGAGUGAUUACAUUGACAAUGUGGAAAUAUUUUGAAGACUGGAAGUGUCUGCCUGUGUGGUGAAUGGGCCAAUGAAUUAUUGUUGAUUUGGUUAUUUUAGGAUUCUGAAGAGGAUGAUCAUGAAGAAACAGAGGAAGAAUUUCUGGAGAGAUACGCACUGGUAGCUCGCAAGUUUGAGAGUUAAACGAUCGAAGAAGAUGAGGGUGAUGUAGAUGAUGAGACCCAUAAAAUUGAACUAGGUAAACCUUGUCCUCUUUCCUUUUGUUGCAAAUUGAAGAAUGA